UUCGAUUAUGAAAGCAGAUUGAACGCUGGCGGGAUGCUUUACACAUGCAAGUCGAACGGCAGCACGGACUUCAGUCUGGUGGCGGGUGGCGAACGGGUGAGUAAUGUAGUCGGAACGUGCCUAUUGGCAGGGGGAUAACUACGCGAAAGCGUAGCUAAUACGCAUACGCCCUUCGGGGAAAAGCAGGGGACCUUCGGGCCCUCGCACUAUUCCGACGGCCGAUAUCGGAUUAGCUAGUUGGUGGGGUAACGGCUCGCAAGGCGGCGAUCCGUAGCUGGUUUGAGAGGACGACCAACCACACUGGGACUGGUUGGCCCAGACUCCUACGGGAGGCAGUGGGGAAUUUUGGACAAUGGGGAAACCUGAUCCAGCCAUCCCGCGUGUGCGAUGAAGGCCUUCGGGUUGUAAGCACACUUUUAUGCAGGAAAGAAACGGCACGGGAUAUUACCCCCGUGCAAUGACAGCCUGCAGAAUAAGCACCAUUUAACUACGUGCCAGCAGCCGCGGUAAUACGUAGGGUGCAAGCGUUAAUCGGAAUUACUGGGCGUAAAGCGUGCGCAGGCGGUUCGGAAAGAAGAUGUAAGAAUCCAGGCUUAACUUUGGAACUGCAUUUUUAACUACCAAGGCUGGGAGGUGUCCCAGAGGGAGGUGGGAAUUCACGUGUAGCAGUGAAAUGCGUAGAUAUGCGGAGGAACACCGUGGCGAGGCAGCCUCCUGGGAUAACACUGACGCUCAUUUUUGAAAGCGUGAAGGCAAAACGGGAUUAGAUACCUGGUAGUCCACGCUCGACGAUGUCAACUAGCUGUUGGGGCCUUCGGGCCUGUGGUAGCGCAACUAGCGUGAAGUUGACCGCCUUAAGAAUACAGGUCGCAAGAUUAAAACUCAAAGGAAUUGACGAGGACCCACAAGCGGUGGUGGAUGAUGUGGAUUAAUUCGAUGCAACGCGAAAACACCUACCAUGACAUGUCUUGAAUCCAGAAGAGAUUUGGGAGUGCUCGCAAGGAGAACCGGAACACAGGUGCUGCAUGGCUGUCGUCAGCUCGUGUCGUGGAUGUUGGGUUAAGUCCGCAACAGUGGCUGAGGAGAGCCCUUGUCAUUAGUUGCUACGAAAAGGGGCACUCUAAUGAGACUGCCCCAUUGACAAACCGGAGGAGAGGUGGGGAUGACGUCAAGUCCUCAUAUAAGCCCUUAUGGGUGGGGCUUCACGUCAUACAAUGGUCAGGGACAGAGGGUCGCCAACCCGCGAGAGGCCAAUCCCAGAAACCCGAUCGUAGUCCGGAUCGCAGUCACUGCAACUCACGACUGCGUGAAGUCGGAAUCGCUAGUAAUCGCGGAUCAGCAUGUCGCGGUGAAUGCGUUCAGGUCUUGUACACGCCGCCCGUCACACCAUGGGAGUGGGUUUACCAGAAGUAGUUAGCCCUAACCGUAAGGAGAGCGGUUACCACAGUAGGAUUCAUGACUGAAAUUUGAAGUCGUAACAAGGUAG
rnacentral:rRNA from 1 species